UUUGUACGAAUCUUGCAAUUUGCCUUGGCUGUUUUUGCCUGUUGUCCAUACCCUUUUUUAUAGCCCAUUCAAAAUUUCGACUCAUUUUAUCGUUUCGGAGAGAGCAGUAGUGUGACCGUCGCGAGGUCAUACAAUUAGUGCUGGUAGCCUGGGGACGCAAAGAUUUCUCUCGAUCUCACUGCAUGCCUUCCCCAUAAGGCUGUCUCUGUUUAUGCAGUUAGCCAGUUAGCAAAGUCUAGUGUCAUAAAGCUAUUAUACAGUGUGUACACAUUGGUCACCAUGGUAUAAAUAAUAUUGAUAUUAAUUAUUAAAAGGAUUGAUGCUUCGCGUUUCGUGUUUGGUUUCCUCACCCAGUUUAAGUGCGUUUUACCACUAACCAUACUGUAUGGUUAGUGGUUUUACUCAUUUCCCGGACAAAUUCACACUUUUUCUCUCACACGAUAUAUCGUUAUGCUUAGUAGGGCUGCAAACUUAGAUACUCAAUAGUAUCGAGAAGAAAUUGCAAUUUUUCUGUGCUGCCAAUUAUUUAAAGGUGGAGGCUCAUCAUUGUAUUUUCCCGCUCAAGCUUUGAGCGAAUAGGUGUGUUGUUGUAGCUUAUAGAGAUGGUCACAAACCCGAAUAAGAGAGGAGUAAUCAUAUAGUUAUCGUAAAAAACCAUCGACUCAAGCCAUAAUAUGUCAACUGGCAGACGGUAUAUUCUCUUAAUACAUAUGGUUUUUUUUAAGUUAGAACAAUGUUUUGAGAAACAUCGAUGUUUUCAAAUUUUCUAUAUAUUUAUUUUAUAAUAUGUCUAUAAGUAAGUUUUGUAAACACUAAAAUAUGAAAUUUAUGAAUUAUUAA